GACGAACGCUGGCGGCGUGCCUAAUACAUGCAAGUAGAACGCUGAAGGAGGAGCUUGCUUCUCUGGAUGAGUUGCGAACGGGUGAGUAACGCGUAGGUAACCUGCCUGGUAGCGGGGGAUAACUAUUGGAAGCGAUAGCUAAUACCGCAUAAUAGUAGAUGUUGCAUGACAUUUGCUUAAAAGGUGCAAUUGCAUCACUACCAGAUGGACCUGCGUUGUAUUAGCUAGUUGGUGAGGUAACGGCUCACCAAGGCAACGAUACAUAGCCGACCUGAGAGGGUGAUCGGCCACACUGGGACUGAGACACGGCCCAGACUCCUACGGGAGGCAGCAGUAGGGAAUCUUCGGCAAUGGACGGAAGUCUGACCGAGCAACGCCGCGUGAGUGAAGAAGGUUUUCGGAUCGUAAAGCUCUGUUGUAAGAGAAGAACGAGUGUGAGAGUGGAAAGUUCACACUGUGACGGUAUCUUACCAGAAAGGGACGGCUAACUACGUG
rnacentral:rRNA from 1 species